rnacentral:rRNA from 1 species
AACGCUAGCUACAGGCUUAACACAUGCAAGUCGAGGGGCAGCAUGAUUGAAGCUUGCUUCAAUCGAUGGCGACCGGCGCACGGGUGAGUAACACGUAUCCAACCUGCCGAUAACUCGGGGAUAGCCUUUCGAAAGAAAGAUUAAUACCCGAUAGCAUAGUAUUUCCGCAUGGUUUCACUAUUAAAGAAUUUCGGUUAUCGAUGGGGAUGCGUUCCAUUAGAUAGUUGGCGGGGUAACGGCCCACCAAGUCAACGAUGGAUAGGGGUUCUGAGAGGAAGGUCCCCCACAUUGGAACUGAGACACGGUCCAAACUCCUACGGGAGGCAGCAGUGAGGAAUAUUGGUCAAUGGACGAGAGUCUGAACCAGCCAAGUAGCGUGAAGGAUGACUGCCCUAUGGGUUGUAAACUUCUUUUAUACGGGAAUAAAGUGGAGUAUGCAUACUCCUUUGUAUGUACCGUAUGAAUAAGGAUCGGCUAACUCCGUGCCAGCAGCCGCGGUAAUACGGAGGAUCCGAGCGUUAUCCGGAUUUAUUGGGUUUAAAGGGAGCGUAGGCGGGUGCUUAAGUCAGUUGUGAAAGUUUGCGGCUCAACCGUAAAAUUGCAGUUGAUACUGGGCGCCUUGAGUGCAGCAUAGGUAGGCGGAAUUCGUGGUGUAGCGGUGAAAUGCUUAGAUAUCACGAAGAACUCCGAUUGCGAAGGCAGCUUACUGGACUGUAACUGACGCUGAUGCUCGAA